CCUACGGGAGGCAGCAGUAGGGAAUCUUCCACAAUGGACGAAAGUCUGAUGGAGCAACGCCGCGUGAGUGAAGAAGGGUUUCGGCUCGUAAAGCUCUGUCGGUAGUGAAGAAAGAUAGAAGUAGUAACUGGCCUUUAUUUGACGGUAAUUACUUAGAAAGUAACGGCUAACUACGUGCCAGCAGCCGCGGUAAUACGGAGGUGGCAAGCGUUGUCCGGAUUUAUUGGGCGUAAAGCGAGGGCAGGCGGUUCAAUAAGUCUGAUGUGAAAGCCUUAGGCUUAACCGGGGAAUUGCAUCGGAUGCUGUUGAACUUGAGUGCAGAAGGGGAGAGUGGAACGCCAUGUGUAGCGGUGGAAUGCGUAGAUAUAUGGAAGAAUACCGGUGGCGAAGGCGGCUCUUUGGUCUGCUACUGACGCUGAGGUUCGAAAGCAUGGGUAGCGAACAGGAUUAGAUACCCGGGUAGUC
rnacentral:rRNA from 1 species